ensembl:lncRNA
GGAAAACUCUGCUUUGAUCUCCUUUAUAGAAUUCUGAAAAGAGGGGAAGCCAGACCCCUUCUCUACUCUCUUGACACUUGGGCUUGCUAACAGAUAAACUAUUCUUUACUGCUGGGUCAUUUUCAUCAAUUCUCUGGGUGACUUAAAUUCUCACCACCAAGAUCUCACCAGCUGGCCGGUGGCAGGGCACCAGAAAAAGGUAUCACCUGCCCCACCCAUAUGAGACGGUGUCACAAGGACAGGUUCUCCUAUCUUUCAUAUCCAGGUACCACACUGGGGUACAAAUCUGAAGGAUGUCACAUCUCCUGGAGUCAUUCAAACGGCAAAGAGGAUUUGUUGUAAGGGGUUGAAAUGACAAAGUGGGGAUGAGCUUUAGUUGUCUUCACUGGAAAAAGAAAAGCAGCACCCUCUAUGGACAGGAGAAGGAAGCUCCCGUUUUCUAUGUAUACCUCAGGUAAAGUUAGAGAUUUUACAUGUCCUCAUGUGCCUCCAUCCACAUGCCUGUGCACACAGAAAUACACAGGCGAGGACACACAUGCACACAGAGGCACACACACACAUGCAAGCAUGUGAGUUCUCCUGUACAUGCAUCCACAUGCCGCUACAUACAAAAAUACACAGGCAAGGACACACGCACACACAGGAGACCAACACAAACGUCAGCAGCACCAGCCUGGUCUCAGAUUGUUGCACACAGCAUCAAUUACCCAGGGUAAUACCAUCACCCUGGGAACAAAUGCAGACUUAGAUUCAUGGGAACUGCUGCAAAAUGAGCACAGCAGUGAUGCCAGCAGCAUGCUUUUACCUACAAAGUAAAAGCUUCCUGAACUGGCCAGAGUUUCUUUCUCUGUCACCACUUGGGGUCAGUGUUUCCAUUUUAGAAGGUUUCGGGUUGUGAGCCAAGUCCCUGAAGGAAAAAAAAAUGGUGAAUUAUACAGCAGCUAAAUGACUUUAGGGGGUUCAAGUAUCCUCUUUCUUUUUCGUUUCCUGCUUUGAGUUCUGUCUGUGUUUUUCUGUGUGCAGUCAGCACCCAUUUUACUUGCAAAGGCUGACAUCAGAUUUGUACCAUUCAUUCCAUUUAGAAAAUAUUAUUUGACAGUUUCAUACAUGUGUAUAAUGAAUUUUAGUUGUUUUCACCCGCCAUCCAUUCAUUCCUCUGGCCAACAUGUUUUGUGUGUGAGAGUGAGUAUGUGUGUGUGUGUGGGGGGUGGUGAGUGUCCAUGUGCGUGCUUGUGUGGGGGAGGAAGCUAUAGGACAACUUUCAGACUUCAUUUACCCUGCAUGGAGCUUGCUACGCCUAGUAGACUGGCUGGCCAGUGAGCCACAGGAACCUGACCGCCUCUGUGCCACCGCCCAACACUGGGAUUAGAAGCACAUUUUAUAUGGGCUGUGAAACUCCAAUCCAGGUCUCCCUGCUUUCAAGACCACCAACUGAACUGUUUCCCGAGCCCUUAAUGUACACAGAGCAUCCUGUGACACAGGAGCCACUUCCUACAGAGCUUUGGGGAUUCUGGGUGCCCAUUAAGGCUUGGGUGCGGCCAUUCUGUAGGAAAAGAAGCUCAUCCUAGUAUUCAGGCUCAUUUUGCCACUUGGCAACUGGGCAACCAUGGUAAGACAUUUUAACUCUUAUAGCUGCAAGUCCUCCUUCAUAUGACAUGCAAAGCAAACACUUCCUUUCUACCUGACUGAUUUUGAAAAGGAAAGGUGUUGAGCAAUUAAAUAGGCAGAAUGGUCAUUAAGCCUAUGUCCAAAUCUGUGCAACAACAUAUGUGCCACACUGAGUGACCCUAAUGUAAAACAGUGGACUUUGCUGGGUCUCUGCAGUUCACCCACUCAGCAAUUACACUGCUGUGAUGGGACUGCUGGCAUUGGAAAAGGCUGUAUGUCUUGAUCUAUGUGCAGUAUCUCCUUACCUCCCUCUUGACUUGACUAUAAAUGCUGACAUGGCUCUUUAAAUGUUUUCAUGUUGAUGAUGUUACUUGUACACACUAACCCUAACUGAGGGCUUGUAUAGCAUGUAGGUAGAGAUUACUCUGACUUCCUGAUCCACCAUCUCUGGGUUGUACAAAGAGUAUCUGGUUGAAGUCAAGUCCAGUUCCCAGCAUUUUCCUGACAUUUUGGUGACAGGAAAUUUCCUUAAAUCUUCUCCAGGUGACCCUCUAAUUUUUAUAGACAUUGCCAAUCUAUAAAUUUCUCUUUGAGAAAAUAUCAGUUGACCCUCAGAGUAUACACCAGAGAGGUAAUAGAUCCCAUUUCCUUUCACAGUUAGCAAAUGUUGGGAUUUUUUUCAUAUCUUGACACAUAGAAAAAGUGGAUUUUUUGCUUGCUUCCCCCCCCCCUCUCUGUGUGUGUGUGUGUGUGUGUGUGUGUGUGUGUGUGUGUGUGUGUGUAGUGACUGCAUCACUUUCUUUUUUGCGACAGGGUUUCUCUGUGUAGCCCUGGAUGUCCUAGAACUGGCUCCCUAGACCAGGCUGUCUUCAAACUCACAGAGAUCCUCCUGCCUCUGCCUCCCAAAUGCUGGAAUUGAAGGCAUGAACCACCACAGCAAGUGGGAUUGAAUCACUUCUUGUGUUUGUCAAGAAUAUUUUUCUGUUGGAUAUGCUGUGUUUUUCUUGUUUUGUGGCACUUAUUUAGAGGUAACUGUAAAAACUGACAAAUUGAUCACUCCUCGGUACAGUUAAGGGAGAGGACAGCCAGAAUCAUCUGGAAGAGUUCAGAGCAGAGAGAGAAAGAAGUAGACUGAACAUGGCCAGCAGACUAGACACGGCCAAGGCUAUCUGUACAGAGGAGAGAAUAGCAGGGGAUUAAGAAUGGAAAAAAGGGGGUGAGGGGAGGGAGAGGGAGAAGGGACUUACAUGUGAAACAAGCUUGUUCCCUAACUAGAACUAAUAAAUUUAAAAAACAAAAUAUAAUAAUAAUAAGAAGAAGAAUGGGAAAAAAAACAUAGUAAGAGAAGCAGAACAGAGCAGGGAGGGAACACAGUGAGAAUACCAGGGCUACAAGGACAAUGAGUAGCUGGGGGAGGGAAGCCCAAGGGCUGGAGGGAGAUUAGAGUGGGGGAGGGGUGAGAAGGGCUGGGAUGCUAGUGUGGACUUUGUAAUGUCUAACAGGUGCUUGUGAUGCUGAGGGAGGCUGGAGGCCAGCCUGCUGCUAGCAGGUAGGCACCACAGGCAGCCAUGUGUCCCUUCUGCCAGGGGUGAGGGGAAUGACUCCUUUUGGUAGAUGGGAACCAGUUUCACAAGUUCCUAGGGAAUUCUGCCUUUUAUCUAAGCACCAGAUAUCCUCCUAUAGCCCAGGUUGAGCUCAUUUCUGGGUAUUUGGACUGCCUUUUGGAGUUUGGGGAAUUAGAGUUUCCUUUACAUCUGAUAAUAACAAAAUUAGCUUUCUUCCUGUGUUUUGGUUGCUAAUGCUUGUUCUCUUCCUCAAAGAAAUUGUGAUUUAUAUAUAUCACAAUUAUAUAUAUAUAUUGCACACACCUCUGUGGCUCUAUGUAUGAAAACACACACACACACACAUGCAUACAUGCUAGAAGUCAACAUCAUAUUUUCUUCCUCUACUUUUUUCCAUUGUAUUUUUUGGAGACAGGUCUUUCUGAGCCUGGAGAUUGA